GUUUUGUCUUUUCAUUCAAUU
rnacentral:sRNA from 1 species